AAAUGUACUGUGCCCACAGCUCACUGGCUCUGCUUCGGUGACAUCACUGAAGUUUCACAUCUGACCCGGACCCUCACUUACUUCGAGUCCUUUUGCAAUGGCUGAACAAGCUGAGAGGAGAAAAGCUGACCGGCGCUUCACUGCUUGGUUUGCCACAGACCGCAGGAGAACCUACCUGUCCACCUGGCGAGAAACAGCACGCCGGAACAAAUAGCCUCAGAGGUUCAAAAGACGGAGUCCAGCAAGCACUGGAUGCUUAGAGCUAGGACGUGGGACCACAGCCACAUUUGUGCCCUCCAUUUGUGCAGAACCUCGCAGGAGAACUUCUGAACCGUGGCUUCUUCGUGACAGACCUGCCCCUAGGAGCCCGGAGCCGGAGGUUUGGCGGAGGAGGCUGAUGACCCGUCCUGUCUUCAUGAAAAAUAAGUGUACUCUGACCGUGCAACACACGUGCGAAACACAAAAAGCACCACGAGAGGGUGAAACUCUAUCCAUCUAUCUAUCCAUCUAUCUAUCUAUCUAUCUAUCUAUCUAUCUAUCUAUCUAUCUAUCUAUCUAUCUAUCUAUCAAUCAUAUUCUCCAGGAUAUAACCCUU